rnacentral:rRNA from 1 species
AUUGAACGCUGGCGGCAUGCUUUACACAUGCAAGUCGAACGGAUUGAAGGGGCUUGCUCCUUCAGUUAGUGGCGAACGGGUGAGUAAUGCAUCGGAACGUACCGUGUAGUGGGGGAUAACCCGGCGAAAGUCGGAUUAAUACCGCAUACGAUCUACGGAUGAAAGCGGGGGAUCGCAAGACCUCGCGCUAUACGAGCGGCCGAUGUCGGAUUAGCUAGUUGGUGAGGUAAAGGCCUACCAAGGCGACGAUCGUUAGCUGGUCUGAGAGGAUGACCAGCCACACUGGGACUGAGGGACGGCCCAGACUCCUACGGGAGGCAGCAGUGGGGAAUAUUGGACAAUGGGGGCAACCCUGAUCCAGCGAUGCCGCGUGUGUGAAGAAGGCCUGAGGGUUGUAAAGCACUUUAGUUGGGGAAGAGAUUACAGAGUUUAAGAGAUACUGUAUGAGACAUGAACCAAAGAAUAAGCACCGGCUAACUCCGUGCCAGCAGCCGCCGUAAGAC